rnacentral:lncRNA from 1 species
GUUUUCUGAAAGCAAGAUCUAAUGGAGACAUUUACCUGGCAACCAAACUGUUGUGUCUUCUUUUAUAAUGUUACAGUUGGGAAUAGGUUGCUCAGUUAAGAACUACAAGUGUAUCAUGCUGGAUCCAUAUGAAUAAGCUUUGCCCAUUGGAUGUGAUUGGAGUUGCUGACAUAACAUUUUGCUCUUUGCUUUCAGAUCUCCCAGUGGAAUGUGAACUAUAAGACAACCUAGAGGAGGGUUGUGCUGCUACACGGAAGAAACCUGGCACCCUGAGUCACUCUGUGAAAUGCUGCUUACUGAUCAGCAACACACGUGGAUAUCUUAUACAAGCAGGAUUACUCUGAAACGCAGGUGCGCUUUUCAUUCAUCCUCUCUUAGCAAGUGGUGGCUGUUCGGUGCUGGAAUUAAGUUUGAAUCCCUCUUUCAUACACCAGCAAGACCUGGCCUGAAUAGAGCUGAGAAACACAGGUAAAAGUGGGCUGGGGCAAGGGGGACUCUGUGGGAGGAGGAUGUGAGAAGCACAGAGGGCCCAGGAAGGCAUAGCGGGUGAGGGAGCAGCUGGUGUUUCUGUCCCUCUAAAUAUCUGGGCUUCCUGCUACCCCAACCCUGGAGGGUGGGGUGGGGGGUGAAACUGGAGGGUGGGGUGGGGGGUGAAACUAGAGGCAAGGGACUCUGGGGCCCUCUGGCUGUUCAGCCCAACCCU